rnacentral:rRNA from 1 species
AGAGUUUGAUCCUGGCUCAGGACGAACGCUGGCGGCGUGCCUAACACAUGCAAGUGGAGCGACGAACCAGGCUUCGGCCUGGGGCAAAGCCGCGAACGGGUGAGUAACACGUGGGUAACCUGCCCUGAUGAUUGGGACAACCCGAGGAAACUCGGGCUAAUACCGAAUGUGCCUCCGGCCUCAAGGCCGAUGGGGAAAGG